UACGAAGGGGGCUAGCGUUGCUCGGAAUCACUGGGCGUAAAGCGCGCGUAGGCGGUUUUGUAAGUCGGGUGUGAAAUCCCCAGGCUCAACCUGGGAACUGCAUUCGAGACUGCAUGACUGGAGUAUGGGAGAGGACAGCGGAAUUUCCGGUGUAGCGGUGAAAUGCGUAGAUAUCGGAAGGAACAUCAGUGGCGAAGGCGGCUGUCUGGCCCAAUACUGACGCUCAUGUGCGAAAGCGUGGGGAGCAAACAGG
rnacentral:rRNA from 1 species